GACAUUAGACGAAUCAUCUGGAAAGAUGAAUCAAAGAAGGUAAUAAUCCUGUAGUCGAAAAUGUUGUCUCUCUUGAGUGGAUCCUGAGUACGACGGAGCACGUGAAAUUCCGUCGGAAUCUGGGAGGACCAUCUCCUAAGGCUAAAUACUCUCUAGUGACCGAUAGUGAACCAGUACCGUGAGGGAAAGGUGAAAAGCACCCCGGAAGGGGAGUGAAAUAGAACCUGAAACCGUGUGCUUACAAGUAGUCAGAGCCCGUUAAUGGGUGAUGGCGUGCCUUUUGUAGAAUGAACCGGCGAGUUACGAUUUGAUGCAAGGUUAAGCAGUAAAUGUGGAGCCGUAGCGAAAGCGAGUCUGAAUAGGGCGUUUAGUAUUUGGUCGUAGACCCGAAACCAGGUGAUCUACCCUUGGUCAGGUUGAAGUUCAGGUAACACUGAAUGGAGGACCGAACCGACUUACGUUGAAAAGUGAGCGGAUGAACUGAGGGUAGCGGAGAAAUUCCAAUCGAACCUGGAGAUAGCUGGUUCUCUCCGAAAUAGCUUUAGGGCUAGCCUCAAGUGAUGAUUAUUGGAGGUAGAGCACUGUUUGGACGAGGGGCCCCUCUCGGGUUACCGAAUUCAGACAAACUCCGAAUGCCAAUUAAUUUAACUUGGGAGUCAGAACAUGGGUGAUAAGGUCCGUGUUCGAAAGGGAAACAGCCCAGACCACCAGCUAAGGUCCCAAAAUAUAUGUUAAGUGGAAAAGGAUGUGGCGUUGCCCAGACAACUAGGAUGUUGGCUUAGAAGCAGCCAUCAUUUAAAGAGUGCGUAAUAGCUCACUAGUCGAGUGACACUGCGCCGAAAAUGUACCGGGGCUAAACAUAUUACCGAAGCUGUGGAUUGUCCUUUGGACAAUGGUAGGAGAGCGUUCUAAGGGCGUUGAAGCAUGAUCGUAAGGACAUGUGGAGCGCUUAGAAGUGAGAAUGCCGGUGUGAGUAGCGAAAGACGGGUGAGAAUCCCGUCCACCGAUUGACUAAGGUUUCCAGAGGAAGGCUCGUCCGCUCUGGGUUAGUCGGGUCCUAAGCUGAGGCCGACAGGCGUAGGCGAUGGAUAACAGGUUGAUAUUCCUGUACCACCUAUAAUCGUUUUAAUCGAUGGGGGGACGCAGUAGGAUAGGCGAAGCGUGCGAUUGGAUUGCACGUCUAAGCAGUAAGGCUGAGUAUUAGGCAAAUCCGGUACUCGUUAAGGCUGAGCUGUGAUGGGGAGAAGACAUUG
rnacentral:rRNA from 1 species